GCAUAACGCGAAGAACCUUACCAGGCCUUGACAUGCAGAGAACUUUCCAGAGAUGGAUUGGUGCCUUCGGGAACUCUGACACAGGUGCUGCAUGGCUGUCGUCAGCUCGUGUCGUGAGAUGUUGGGUUAAGUCCCGUAACGAGCGCAACCCUUGUCCUUAGUUACCAGCACGUUAUGGUGGGCGACUCUAAGGAGACUGCCGGUAACAAACCGGAGGAAGGUGGGGAGUGACGUCAAGUCAUCAUGGCCCUUACGGCCUGGGCUACACACGUGCUACAAUGGUCGGUACAGAGGGUUGCCAAGCCGCGAGGUGGAGCUAAUCUCACAAAACCGAUCGUAGUCCGGAUCGCAGUCUGCAACUCGACUGCGUGAAGUCGGAAUCGCUAGUAAUCGCGAAUCAGAAUGUCG
rnacentral:rRNA from 1 species